UACGUAGGGUGCAAGCGUUGUCCGGAUUUACUGGGCGUAAAGAGCUCGUAGGCGGUCUGUCGCGUCGGAUGUGAAAACCCCGGGCUCAACCCUGGGCCUGCAUUCGAUACGGGCAGACUAGAGUACGGCAGGGGAGACUGGAAUUCCUGGUGUAGCGGUGGAAUGCGCAGAUAUCAGGAGGAACACCGGUGGCGAAGGCGGGUCUCUGGGCCGUUACUGACGCUGAGGAGCGAAAGCGUGGGGAGCGAACAGG
rnacentral:rRNA from 1 species